UACGAAGGGGGCUAGCGUUGUUCGGCAUUACUGGGCGUAAAGGGCGCGUAGGCGGAUCGGCAAGUCAGAAGUGAAAUCCCUGGGCUCAACCCAGGAAUUGCUUUUGAGACUGUCGGUCUUGAGUACAGGAGAGGUGAGUGGAAUUCCCAGUGUAGAGGUAAAAUGCGUAGAGAUGUGGAGGAACACCAGUGGCGAAGGCGACUCUUUGGCCUGUAACUGACGCUGAGGCGCGAAAGCGUGGGGAGCAAACAGG
rnacentral:rRNA from 1 species